GAUGAACGCUGGCGGCGUGCUUAACACAUGCAAGUCGAACGGUGAAGCAGGAGCUUGCUCUUGUGGAUCAGUGGCGAACGGGUGAGUAACACGUGAGCAACCUGCCCCUGACUCUGGGAUAAGCGCUGGAAACGGCGUCUAAUACUGGAUAUGUGAUGUGACCGCAUGGUCUGCAUCUGGAAAGAAUUUCGGUUGGGGAUGGGCUCGCGGCCUAUCAGCUUGUUGGUGAGGUAAUGGCUCACCAAGGCGUCGACGGGUAGCAGGCCUGGGAGGGUGACCGGCCAGACUGGAACUGAGACACGGACCAGACUCCGACGGGAGGCAGCAGUGGGGAAGAUUGCACAAUGGGCGGAAGCCUGAUGCAGCAACGCCGCGUGAGGGAUGACGGCCUUCGGGUUGUAAACCUCUUUUAGCAGGGAAGAAGCGAAAGUGACGGUACCUGCAGAAAAAGCACCGGCUAACUACGUGCCAGCCGCCGCAGUAA
rnacentral:rRNA from 1 species